rnacentral:rRNA from 1 species
UACGUAGGGUGCGAGCGUUAAUCGGAAUUACUGGGCGUAAAGCGUGCGCAGGCGGUUUUGUAAGCCAGAUGUGAAAUCCCCGGGCUUAACCUGGGAAUGGCAUUUGGGACUGCAAGGCUGGAGUUUGGCAGAGGAGACUGGAAUUCCCGGUGUAGCAGUGAAAUGCGUAGAUAUCGGGAGGAACACCAAUGGCGAAGGCAGCUCGCUGGGACGUGACUGACGCUGAGACGCGAAAGCGUGGGAGCAAACAGGG